ensembl:lncRNA
CAGAAAUAGAAAAUUGGAGAUUUAUCUGGAAUUACUUCUUCUAAAUUCCCAGGCUGUGUUUGCAGUUAAGGCAACAAUUCCAAAUGGCAUUAUAUCUGAUUUUCAACUGGAAAAUUGAAGCAGGAUGCGAUCACAGCUACUGCUGCCAGCAGCCCUUGCUCUUCGCUCUUCAGUGUGCCUCAUCUUGGAGUAGUCACAGAGGAAAUGAGAGCUUUCUUUUAUCUCCAGAGGCUGAUCCCACUUAGACCCUUCCUAUGCCUGGUUUUGCCAUAAAUCCAGAACAAUAAUCCCCGCUAUGCUGAAAUAUUCACAAGGGGAAUAUCACCGCUGUUAUUUAAGGAAUGCCACAAAAAAAGAAGACAUGGAAAUGCAUGGAGCUCAAGUCUCGGGUACGGCUCGCUUGGGGAAGAAAUGCAUUUUCAGAAAACCACUUCCAGCUGAUGAAACAGGAGGUCAGAGUCCUGGCCAAAGUCAGAAGAUGCAGCUGUGUUUGGGAAGAGGCACCUGCAGAUCUGGGGACCUCACCCUGAGAAACCUGGGGGGCCAGGGAAGUGUAAGCCUGACUGACACAGUGAAAUACCCAAUGAAGGGAAACACAUCUUCCCUUACUUCAGUGUGGAGGAUUUUCAGUGCAAUGGUUAUUUAGAGCCAGGAGGUUGUGAACCGGAUGUCAGCUGUUGGAACUAAAGGGCAUUUGAGCUGAAGCAGUUUCCAAGAAAAAGCAAGAGGAAGAUGAUUUACUCUGAGUUGUAAUGAGGUAUAGACUCCUGCUUUCAUAAAUUCAGACUUUUGGACAGCUUAGCCCAGCAGAACUCAUUUCAUACCGUUGACGUUGAACAGAUUGACAGCCUGCAUGGAAUGGGGACUAAAAUAAAGCUCUCGGUAGGGCCACCAACCUCCAGAUCUGGUACUGGACCAGGCUGCCCAGGGCCCCAUCCAACCUGGUCUCAGAGCCAUUCGCCAGGGAAACAUUCAGCAGUGCUGAGCUGUGCAAAGCGAGCCCAGCUGGAGUAGCUGCUUACACCUGUUUCUCGCCUUUUCACUGGAAGAUCCAAAUCCAAAGUUUGCAUCUGGGUAUGGUCCUGAGCUGAGUGCUUGAAUGGGAGAUGGCAGGAGAAGCAUUCCUUGCCUUCCUGCUCAGUGACUCAUUUGCACCAAAAGGAAGAAUAAAGCCUGGUCUGUUGUUCCAAAAAAGCAUCUUCCACAAAGCCACAGCUUCCACCAGUUCCAGCCCUGCAGAAGUAAUCACUUUACAGAAGCUAAUAAAGAAUGGAUUAAGCUACAGCUUUGAAGAACUCAUCUCAAAAGGACCCUGAAACCACUGUCUAAAAGCAAUAUUAUCAGCAUUAGAAGCUGAAAAAUUACACCAACAGAUCUAGUUGUUUCUCAAACCCAUAUGAACUUGUGAGAACUGCAGCAUUGCACAACAAGUGCUUCUGCAACUUCUGCUUGCUUAAAGGGAAGAAGUCCAAGUGAUGCUGUAUGCUAUACUGGGAAAUGACUUAUCUGGCAGCUGUAUAGUUUGAUUGUGUAUACUACUGCAAAAGAGAACAGAUGUCAAGUGUAUGCAUCAGCAGAUUUAUCCAGACAUCCGUCAUCCCGAGCAGGAUGACUGGUGGUGACCUGAGGCCUGACAUCUGCCUGCUGCAGUGCAACUGAAAGACAUCAGCUUUCUUUGAGGAUGUGGAGACCACCUGAGCAGACCUGAAAUUACGAAGACAGGUGUCUGAGGCUUAACAGAUGAAAACCACUUGCUGAAAAUAAAGGUCAGACCAUGGUAGAAAAGAGGUGACCUCUUUCUCAGCUCAGUUCACCAACAAUAUCUAUGGGAAACAGCUGUGACAGUUCCCUUCAGCACAAUAUCCACAGGUCCAAGCUGUUAAAACUGUAGUUAGUCUGCCUGGGCUACUGCUAUCUGCAAUGCUCUUCACAGAAGUAAGCAUUCUGCCUGAGACUGAGCCAUGAGUGCAGUAAUUUUGGGCAAAUGUUGCAAAACUCAGAAGCAGGUAGCUCAAAAUCAUGAGAUGUGAACAAUCGUUAUUACUUGAAAGGUGAUUCAGCCUCUGGCCUGAUGAUCUCCAAGCUGAAGGUGUGGUGGGCCACUAUACUGCCUUGGCUGAUGUUCCUGUUAUUCUGAGUCCUUUUGUGGCUUUUGAAAAUCCAGAAUAAAGUUAAGUAAGCAAGAGACUUGACAGCCCACAUCAGAGCUGCCAACUCCAGCAAUGAACCAGAUUUAGAAGCUGUUAUAUGAAGAAUCUACAGGACAUGAGAUUUAAAUGGUUUCUCUGAAUAAGUACCUUCUAAACUAGGGUCCUUGAGGGCAUGGAGAGACCCUCGAUGACAGGGUGGGAUUGUUUUUUCUUCACUUCACCGUUGCAGGCAGACAGCUGGGAGGACCAAGGAAGAGCUCUUGUUCUUUUGCCUGCUUGGAGGAGAAAGUCAUUAAGUGGAUUAUCUCACUGGAUAAAGGUAUGAAGGUAAGAGGAAGAAUGGUCAGAAGCCCUCCCACUGCUGUGGUCCUUCUGGUGAUGCCCUCAGCCAUCGCAUGCAGGAUCCAUACAAAAGAAGAGAGAUGCUGGGAAGACAUCAUACCUUUUCUGACUGUUCCAUAUCACAUCACUCUGUUUGGAGAUACUGUGUUUCAUCUCCUACAAAGUAAAUUGCUGGCUGACAGCUGGAACCACCUCUACUAUAAAUUAUUGCACUCACAAGCAAGUUGGAUAUCUACCAUAGGAUCAUCAAACACAGAGGAGUUUGUGUUUACACUGCUGUAACCAAGCUGGGGGCUGGUUUCCAGAAUUACAGAGUCUUACAUAAAACAAAAUUUUCUCUUCAUUAAGUUCCAUGUUGACUGUCACAAAUCCUCCCUAUGAAUCCUUUCUAAUUCGUAUUUUGUGAGGGCGGGCUAGGACCCACAAAAAACAUUUACCCUAAUUCAUCUGCUGCGUUGUAAGGCUUUUAUUAGGCUUCACAAAUUUGAAUACUUUCAUCUGCGUUGUCAAGCUUCAUUCCCCACUGGUAUUUUUCCCUACAAAAUGUUGGUGAUGAAUAUUCACAAACCCCGGUGAGAGCUGUGCCAAAGACAUAGCUCAAAACAAUACAGCUGUAGCCAGAAAGCUGUACAGUGGGUGAACUGUUCUCAAUUCCUAUGCAUGUCUUCCAUCUCAAACCUUCAUCCUAUUUAAGUGCCUCAGGAAGAGAUAGCAAAGAAUCUCUUUCUCUUUUUUUUUUCUGGAAAUCAAAUACAGAGGACUUGAAAGAGAAAAAGUUAAGUAUUGUAAGCAAUCCAGAAGGAGCAAACCAGGACCCACUUAUGAAUCUCCUCCCGUAAGGAUGGCUGAAAACCUCUAACUUGUAAGAAAACUGUGAAUGUCUGAAAAGUCUUCUGAUGUGAUACAUGUUGUGUCUAAUUUAGGUGCCUUCUGAUAGGGCUGACUGCAUGUGGAAAUAGGAGAAAGAGUAACUGGAUAAUAUUCUACUGCUAGAAGAGGCUGAGGCUGAUCUUCUUCUGCUUGAAGAUUGAUAUGUGUAGGACCUGUGUGGUCAAAACACCAUUAAAAUCAUAGUAAACAAAUAAUAAAUACAUGUUUGGGUCCCUUACCUGCAACAAGGUAGAAGCUUGUGUGCACAUUCUGCGUCCUGACACAACAUAAUGGUUAAACGCUUCAUGGACCUUUAAGACCUGUUACUUGGUGCAUAGCUGGAUAUGCAAGAGUUGGCUCAGUGGAUGCUAAUUUGAAAUCACUGCUCUCAAUUUUAUAACAGUAAGCAGUCAGCUAAUCUCACAAACAUCAGCCUUUGCAGAAGUCUUCCAUAUAUUUCCACCGCAAACUAGGAGUUUAAUAAGCAAUUAGUUGCUGAAAUGAUGCAUAGCUAUCUGUGGUCACCAUUUAAAGACAUUGCAACAAAGUCAAUUCAGAAGAAGAAAGUUGAGCUGGUGAAUAUUUCUAAGUGAAGAAAAAAAAAAACUUGAGCUACUUGUUGGAAAGGACAGCAACACAGCACACUCCCAUGAUGUCCUUGAGGAGUGGUGAUGGGAAACAAUAAAAAGACAAACACCAGCAGCAUUUUGUUCUGCAGAGGCUGGUGGCAGUUUCUCUUUGCAGUCGAGGCGCCAGAUCCCAACAUGCCAGAGGUUGUGCUGAAAAUCAGGACUUGGGGCUCUUCCUUUGCUGAGAAGAUAAAGUGGCAACUCUUGUGAAAUCCCACCCCUGCUUCACCAGCUGAAUGAAGUCCAAAAACUUGAUGCUUCAAACAUUUCACAGAGAUGGAAAAAAUACGAGAGCCAAAAAGAUUGUUAAAAAGAAUCCACAGUGAGGAAGACGGGAAUGCUAUCUGUGGUUCUCAUAUGAGGAAGAGCAAGAACAGAUGCAUUUUUUCCGCAAACUCGGAACCUCAGCUUGCAAGAAGUAGUGAAGCUUUGUGUAGAACUGGGGAUGACAACUGAACGCAAGUAGUCACCAGCAAAACACAGAAAACAUGACUGUUGGCUAGGUCCAGCAUGAAGCUCCAAAACUUCUAAACCCUGCAGAUAGAUGGUCUUCAGAAUAUGCAGUGGAGUUUAUCCAGUUUAACUCAGCCCAGCUGAUGCCAGCAGGUGGAGUUUCGCUGUGAGGUUUGUAAAGCUGCACCAUUCCCACUAGUCACUGAGGUCCUAACCAGUGCACUGCUGUGUGCAUGAAGUCCUGCUCUUAUCUGCUCAGUCUGGUAACUGAAAGUGCAAAGUGGCAAUUAGGUUCACCAUUAGCCCAUCAGCAAGUGCACAUUCAGGAUCAGAUCUACGUUUUGCAUGCCCAAGGCUGAGAGGUGCCAAUGGCUCUCCGUUACUGCUGGACAAGCAGAUAUGAAAAGUUGGCAUCCACAUAGAUCCGUGGCCGUGACAUGAGGAAACCUCCGCCACUUUGGCAAACAGCAUGCAAGUCCAGCAUAGGCCAUGGUGGAUAAUUGUAUUGUCCUCAUCGGGAUUGUAACGGGGCUACCAGAUGAAUAUCCAGCUGCUUCCAUCCCUUUGAAGGAACAGUACACAAACCUGCAGCCUUAGCUCCCACCCUUACUACGGAAGGGGCUCAGCAUUCAGUCUGGCAUAGCAGCAGAUUGGCAAGGUGACAUAACAACUAUUUGCAAGUCUACGUGCUGUCUGAAGUUACCAAAGUAAAUUGCACAGCAGUCUGCUUGGUAGUCCCUAAGAAGAUAAAGUGGUCAGUGCUGCUCUGCUUUGAAAAUAUCAGCCCUGCUUUGUGCAGAAUAUUGCAGACUGGCUGAAAUGUUGCCCAAGCAACAUCCACUCUUCAGCUGUACUUCUCACAGUGGCUUCAGCUGAAGAAGGGACAAGACCCAAGGAAGUGUUUGGAAAUCUCUCUUGCAUCCUCCCAGUCUGAGACCAACCAGAGCAGCUCCUGUUUGCAUUGGAUUUGUACAUCGUUGGCAUUGGAAGAAGAAACAUUCCAGUGUGAGAGGGAUCCUCAGCUGGCAAAGCUGUAUCUAGCAGAGGGCUUUGAACAAGCCCCGUGCAACUGAGAAAGAUGUUGGCUGAAAUGAACUGGAGGUCUUCCUCUUUAAUAUGGAUUUUAUGCUUGGUGCCAUGCAGACAGCGCUGGCAGGAGGACGAUUUCAGUCUCUGCUACAUCAAUGAAAACAAGGGGUUGUUUAAACUUGGCGUUGACACAAAUAAAAUAAAAACUGAGCUGUU